AUUGAACGCUGGCGGCAUGCCUUACACAUGCAAGUCGAACGGCAGCACGGGUGCUUUCACCUUGUGGCGAUUGGCGAACGGGUGAGUAAUACAUCGGAACAUGUCCUGUAGUGGGGGGUAGCCCGUCGAAAACCGGGUUAAUACCGCAUACGAUCUACGUAUGAAAGCGGGGUACCUUGUGGACUCGCGCUUUAGUGUUGGUCGUUGGCUGAUUAGCUAGUUGUUGGGGUAAAGGCCUACCAAGGCGACGAUCAGUAGCCGGUCUGAGAGGGCGACCAGCCACACUGGAACUGAGACACGGCCCAGACUCCUACGGGAGGCAGCAGUGGGGAAUUUUGGGCAAUGGGCGAAAGCCUGAUCCAGCAAUGCCGCGUGUGUGAAGAAGGCCUUCGGGUUGUAAAGCACUUUUGUCCGGAAAGAAAACCUUGGCCCUAAUACGGUCGGGGGAUGACGGUACCGGAAGAAUAAGCACCGGCUAACUACGUG
rnacentral:rRNA from 1 species